rnacentral:lncRNA from 1 species
ACACACUGUGACGCCUUGUUUAGUUCAAAAAAUUUUUUAGAUUUUAAUACUGUAGCAAUUUCGUUUUUAUUUAAUAAAAAUUAUCUAAUUAUAAAGUAACUAGGUUUAAAAGAUUCGUCUCGUAAUUUAUAGGUAAACUGUAUGAUUAGUGCAAUUUACAGACAAUAAUUAUCACAAAUAAACGAAAGUGCCAUCAGGAAACACAAAGAAAGCAGGGAGUGGACUGUUUUGUGAGACAUGGAGCACCCGCCAUGAUGCGUGGCGGGGUUGCAUCCCGCCAUGAUGCCUGGCGGGGUACUUUUUGCCACGUACCCCGCCACGUGUUAGCCACGUCAGCAUGUGUCCUCUAAAUCAUGCCACGUCAGUAGUAGUACCCCGCCGCCAUGCAUGGCGGGGUUCUGUGCAUUUGCCCCGCCAUGCAUGGUGGCGGAUCCAAACGGCCUAGUUUUGAAAAUAUUUUCAUAAACGGAUCAAAUUUAGGCUAAAAAUAAAAAAAAAUCUCCCUAGCUGCAGUGUACAAAUCAAUGCUCAGAGCUUCUCUAGCUUUCCGGUUCCAAGUGGCUUGUCUUACAGCCUGUUCUGUUUCAGUAUAAUUGGCAUGUAGUAUGUGCUAGUAGUUCUUAUUCUACUCCUCUGCUUCCCCAAUAUGAUAAGCAUGCAGUCUGAUGAACCACGCUGGCCCAGUAUGCACGCUGCCUGCAGCAUGCAUGUCACAUUCAUAGAUGUAUAGAAAUAGAAUAACGAGCGUUCUUGCCUGUUUCCACCGCGGAGAGUCGAUCGAAGACAGGCAGAGGGACAAAAAUCACGCGAUUUCUCAUGUGACCACAGAUCAGCUGUAACUGUAAGAAAAACAACCUGAUUACGCGUAUCAUAUUUGAGACAUAUAGUAGUGCAAGUUGCUGAUUAAUUAGAUGACUCUCUGUUACCCAAGUAUUUACCGCAUAAAGUAAUGCCAUUUGCAGGUCCAUCGCUGUUAGUUCACCUCUCUUGUGAAUUGUGAUCACAGUAUACUUUAUUUGCUCUGCCAGCCAUCGC